UCCAAUGAUAAAACCCGGGUGGAGGGGGUCAAAAAUACAACUUCAGAAUGUCCCCCCCUGUUCCCAGUGAAAGUUGCACCCCUGCUCAUAAUACAGCUGGCACCAGUCUAUACCAGUCCCAAUGCUUUUCCAUUGUUUCUGUUCUCCUUAUAAGCAGAGACUCAUUCCAAUAGCAAUAUUUCUGCAAUACACUUCUAAUGAAUGAGCAGCAAGCAACAUAAAAAAAUAUAUCCUCUAUUUAAUAUGAUUACGUUAAUAAAAUAAAUGAUGAUACAUUGAAUACAAUUAAAACACUGUGUCACUAGACACAUGUGUAACUCUUGAAACAGGAUAAAAGGUGGGCGACUGUGGACUCGCCUCAUUUCAUUUCCUUCAAACCCACCAACCUGCCUCUCUGGAUGAAGGAAAGGGGGUGAGAAAGGGAAGCUGUUCCAAGAUUUUAUCAGCUGCUGAGUAGUGAGAGCCAGAUAGAGAGCACGUCUGGGAAUCGCUGCAGAUAGGAAACACAAGGACAGAGACAGGCAGACAGCUCACUGAGGAUGGUCAUCUUUUCGCAUGGCAGUCCACGUUUGGCUGGCAGAGGGUUUUGUUCAGUUGAUGUUGUCAUUACACAGGGAACUCUUCAUACAGAAACGGUCUUUGUGGCUGUUUUGUUAUUUCGUGUUGUAUAGCUAAGUUCACUUCAUGUCACCAUGCGUGACAAGAUAAUUGAAACUUUUUGAGCUCUCGCGGGUUGCCUGUGGGGAUCAAAGACUAGAAUCUUAUUGUGGAUCAUUUGACCGAAUAAAUAAUCAUUAUCUUAUCAUCACCUCAAACUCUUUGGCAAGGAAAGGAAAGACUGAAAUAAAUCUCCCUUAUCGCUAAGAGCUUAGCUCUUCUCUCGACUUUCCCCCGCGGUGUGAGCAACUGUCCUCUUGUAGUCCUUGCGUAGUGUGGUCGCUAAAUUGCUAAUAAUCAGUGUUUGUAAUGUAUUAUUAUUAUUUUUUAAGUUAAACGUUUUUUGUUAAAAGUUUUAACUUCAUUCAGACAGACAUAUCAAACACACCAUUUACUCCGACGUGGUGUACAGACAGGUUGUUAGGGUGUUAGUCUGCCACUAUGCAGCCUGAACGAGCACAUAAAGGUAGCCUAUGGGUUAUCAUUUCUUUAUUCUUUCACUCAUUCAUUCAUUCAUUCAUUCAUUCAUCAUUCAUUCAUUCAUUCAUUCUCUCAUUGUCACGUAGCUGUGUGUGGGCAGAGCCUGCUGUCCAUCGCCCUCAGGGUGUAUCUAAACAACAAGAACAGACUGCAGCCCAUCAUCGGUCAGGAACAGCCGUGUGUAUAUGUGUGUGUAUCUGUGUGUUUGUAUGUGUGUGAUACAUGUAUGGGGUAUUUGACCAAUGUGUCUACUUUGACCUGUGUGUGUGUGUGUGUGUGUGUGUUUCAGGUUUGAGCUACGUGACAGAGUGUGUGACGCUCGGCCGGGACUCUGAGGCGGUGUACCUGUGUGAGGUGUGUGUGUGUCGUCUCAGUAAGGCUGACGUCAGGAGCCACAUCAUGGGGAGUCUCCAUAGAUACAGAUACAUAAAAGUCGAUCACCCUCACUUUGUGUCAGAGUGGAAGCCGAGUCCUGACCUGUCAAUGCUGGCCCGGCCUCUUAUGGAGAUGGCUCAAAUACUAGAGAAGAGAGAAGGAACUGGGGACGUACAGGUGCUGGAGUUGGAUGCUGCCAUUUAUGAGGAGAUGACGUUGCACAGUGACAUCGAUGCUCUCAUCCUCUUGCAUGCCAUCAGGACUGGGCGGGAGCAGAGAAAUCUCAAGAGCCAAUCAGAGAAGCCAUCAGUCCAGUCGGAGUAUCUCGCCAUCCGAUCACAGAGAACCAUUAUAUCACCUCAGAGGCUCUACGUCCAACCUGAGAAGCCUGUUGUCCAGAUUGAUAACCGAACUGUCCUAUGGAAGAGUCCGACUGCCCGGAGGAACUCAUCUGGCCAAUCAGAGAAGUCCCCUAUAUUGCGGCAGAGUGUUUCUGUCCAAUCACAACUCAGCUCGGGGAAGGAGGAGAGGUUUUUCCAUGAAACCAAGCCUCUGAUUGGUGCUUCACUAAAGUGUCCUGCGUCAGCGUUACCAUGGCAGCAUGACCCCUCUCUUUCACCGACCCCUGAUUAUGUCACAGAUGGAGGUCAGACAUCACUGGGUGGUUCUGAGGAGGCGGGACUACAGGGGGUUGCAUCGAAGGUGAUUCGCUGUGAGCCGGUGUUCAAGGUGAUUCUGUCUAUGACUGACGGUCCCCUGCUGCUGGAGAGGAACUCCUUCAGCCUGGAAACCUCCCUUUCACACUCCUUACCCCUUCACUCCCCACCAUAGAUGCCUCCACCCAGCCCCAUCCCACACCCAUCCCACAUUCUGUCAGAUCAACUGACAGAAUGUACCAAACAGGAGAAAGAUCAACUGACAGAAUGUACCAAACAGGAGAAAGAUCAACUGACAGAAUGUACCAAACAGGAGAAAGAUCAACUGACAGAAUGUACCAAACAGGAGAAAGAUCAACUGACAGAAUGUACCAAACAGGAGAAGGGACAACUGACAGAAUGUACCAAACAGGAGAAAGAUCAACUGACAGAAUGUACCAAACAGGAGAAGGGACAACUGACAGAAUGUACCAAACAGGAGAAGGGACAACUGACAGAAUGUACCAAACAGGAGAAGGGACAACUGACAGAAUGUACCAAACAGGAGAAAGAUCAACUGACAGAAUGUACCAAACAGGAGAAGGGACAACUGUAUGCUACAGGAGCGAGGCUAACUGACUGUUAGUUGAUGGAGAAAGAGGAACAAUGCAGAGCUGAAACUCAGGAAGGAGUUGGAGGGGGAGAAAUGGGGGUCAUGGGGGAGGAAAGCUGAGAGAGAGGGAGGUAAACUCUGGCUUUCACCACCAACAGUAUUUUCAAGGCCAGCCUCCACAACGGAACCAGGCGCAGGGGUUUACAGAAGCUCAGGUUGACACAGCAGCUCUCAGACAUGACAUAGCACUUCAUAGGGAUCAGGCAGGGCCAUUCCUUCACAGAGGAGACAUGAGCAUUCGUAUGGGUGACAUAGCAGGUGCAGUUGUGUGAGUUCAGAGGUCAGAGUUCAGAGGAGCGUGGUCCUACAGAGCCAAACAGCUGACCCCUGACACCUAUAGAACAGGUCCGCAGGGUUACGAGACACACCCUGGUCCUUACCCAGAGGGCCACAGAAUGAACCGUGACCCUUACCGAGUUUGUUUCUGAUGGGAUCAGAACCAACCCUGGCCCACACCUCUUUCCCACUAACCCUAUCGGGUUCAAACCCCAGCCCCUCCCGUACACUCGCUAUCCACUCACCCAGGGGAUUGCACCCCAUCCAUACCUUGAUCCUUUCCUCAGGAGCAUGGGGGGCGUGCAGCCACAGGAGUACAGAGAUCUAGACCCCCCCCCCCACAGCCAUUCCCUCCAGGACACGGAGAGUUCCUGUCCCCCCGGGACACGGCCCAGUCAUCCUCCCCAGCCCUCCCUGUCACAGAGUAGGCUAUUGGGUCCACAUCCCUGCCUUGGGUCCCUGAGCAGCUCCAGGACCAGGACCUCCCUGGGUCUAACUACCACGGAUGAUUAUUCUAGUGGUGCUUUAGACACUGACUUUGUUGUUUUAAAUGGACAGGUGUUUUCUGUGUUUGUUUUAUACACUCCGGUUUCUAUGGUUUUUUUAUACAACAGGCGGGUCUAAUCCUGGAUGCUGAUUGGUUAAAACCGCAUUCCAGACUGUUUUUAUUUAAGCAAUAAGGCCCGAGGGGGUGUGGUAUAUGGCCAAUAUACCACGGCUAAGGGCUGUUCUUAUGCACGAUGCAACGCCUGGAUACAGCCCUUAGCCGUGGUAUAUAUGGCCAUAUACCACAAACCCCCGAGGUGUCUUAUAGCUAUUAUAAACUGGUUACCAAUGUAAUUAGAGCUGUAAAAAUAAAUGUUUUGUCAUACCCGUGGUAUACUAAAGUGAUAAUGCCCGAGAAGCCGGUGUUUGGAGGGUAAAUUGGCACGGGUGUUGUUAGGCCCGAGAAGAAGUCGAUCAGCAUUAGACCCACCCAUUGUGUAAAACAUUAUACAACGGGUGGGUCUAAUCCUGAAUGCUGAUUGGUUAAAACCGCAUUCCAGCCGGUGUCUAUUCCACAAGUUACCACUGGCUAAAUCUAUGAAGUUAAAAUGCCUAGUAUUUACUCUGUUCCAUCUGACUGCUGCAAUCCACUGUCUCAUCAGCCCAGCCAGGCAAUUUAUGAACUUGAUCUCCACUAUAAAAAGCAUCUAGUCAUUAUCUCACAUUUCUUUUAGACUUACAUUUAUUUUUAAACAGCAGAGAGUUGUACAAACCUUGCUGUCUGUCUCUCCGACAUUUGCAACAUUGUUUCAAUAUUGAAAUUCGAUCUCCAGCUGUUGCAUAGUAAUGAACGUGGCCGGAGUCGGGAUGAGACAGACAGGCAGGCAGUAUUUCUUAGCCAGUCGAAAUCAUGAAUCAGCAUAAUUUUUAUGGAGAUAUACAAAGAACUAUCAAUAGAAAACAGGUCAAACUCUUGUGUUGCGACGUGCUUAAGAGCAGCCUUUAGCCGCGGUAUAUUGGCCAUAUACCACACCCCCUCAGGCCUUAUUGCUUAAUUAUACACUGGAUUGGAUUCUGUUGGUUUUAUUGAUGAUUUUGGGUUGUUGUAAACAUGUACAAUUAUUUUCUCUCCCCUGUAAGCAUGUGAUUGGAUUUCAUGACUUCAUACAACCGUCACUGAUUCCAACUCACCGGUUCAACUCUGUUACCGAUUCAAAUUUAUACAAGACAAGACUUGUUUGUUUUAAGUUGUUUGUCUGCUGCUGACAAGAUGGGGAGAUAAACCACUCAUUGAACAUUGCCUCAGUUUGUGAAACACAUCUUCGACGAACCAACUACUGAGAGACCGUGAAGAAGUGAGAGAAAAUAAGAAACCUGCACACUUCCCUUGCUCGUAUCACUGCUCGUUAUUAAGCUUUACGUAUCGGCCUUAAGGCCUUCGUCAGAGCUUUUGUGAGUGUUUUUUAUUUUGCACCCUUAUGUAGACAUUGCUCCACCCACAUCCGUUCAAUGCAUGGAAUGGGGUUGGAGUAUUCAUCUGUUACCGUGCAUCUGCAACAAAGAUAGCUCAGAUGUGCGAUUGCCUUUUGAAUUUUUAGACCAUGAAGAAGUAAAAUAAUAUCUUUGUUGCCUUUUUCUACGUUUUAUUUUAGUUAUAGACUCAGCGAUAUGACGUAGAUGCAAAAAGUAAACAUAGUGGGUCAAAUCCCUCAAAAACUUUGAAGCGCGAGGUUCAACUUCUCCUCUGUUUUAGUCGUGUGGCAAUCACGCUGGAAUUACAUGAAGCGAACCCGUGCACAUGGGACGAUACCAUGUGUGACUGUGUGAGAGCGAAGUCUUGCAUAUCGAUAUCUGCGGUUCUGCUCGUGGCAACAUCAUUUCACUGAGUCUACCUUUUAACGCGAGCAUUUUUCUAAAUGUACAUGUGUACUUAAGGUAUAUUUGACAUAAUUAACAGGGAUUCAUUAGGUGGUCAACAUUGACCUUUCCAGAAAUGUCCAGAAGGAGUUGCUAUAUGAGUUUGUGACCAGCGGAGGGUAGCAGAGCUGAAUAAGUUGUUUAAAUUGAGGUUCAUAGUCACAGUGGAGGACUUGUUACACAGUUUUCACACUUAUCACCUCAGGAAAUUGGGUUUAGUAGAGAGAUCCUAUUAAAUGAGUAUUCUAAUUCCUAAUCCAAUGGGGUUUAGUUCAUCAACGUGGCUCUGGCCAGUGUCCGGCUAUACUUUGACUUUGGUUCAUACUUGUGACUCACAAAAUCUAAGUUGUGUUGUAUACUGUAAAUAAUAAUAAUUUGAAAAUGGAAGAAAAUCUGCUCAGUUGAGCCAUUUUCAAUGGUUUCAUUGUUCAUAAUUUUUUUCUCAUUUUCAUGUGCAGCACUUUACUCAGAAAGUUGCAUUUGACGAUGGCCCAGUGGCAAUUUAUGGACAGGAUCAAAUAUUUUUCAGCGGGUCCAGAGAAAGACUGUAUUAUAUAGACUAUUAUGGUUCAUGUAGCACAGAUGGAGUAAAGUAGUGUUUGUUAUUCGUUUACAUUUUUUCCCCCCCAUUGAGAUUCAGGAAUGUUACCAAAUAUAUUUAAAACUAACCCAAGAUAGUUAAUCUGUGUCGUUUUCAAUGGGAGCAAAUGAAGCAUAGUGGACAGGAAGGAGGUUGGCAGAGACAAGCAGGAGCUAGCGAGAUCCUAUUGGUGCAUUCUAGUAUUUAUUUGAAUAUUUCCAUUAGGGAACACCUCUCUGAAGUGUGUGUGUGUGUGUGUACAAUAACUAAAUUCACAUUUGCACUCCUUGUAAACAACACCAUUUAAAAAAAAAAUAAACUUUGGCAAAAGGUCACGCCUACAAAACUUAGUGCAUAGUUCCUAACAGAUUUGACUUUUGGUAACAGAAAACUGUAUUGAGAUCGGCCUUUUCUGAUAAAACCAUCAGAAUGUCGGUCAGUUCCAUCUCGUUCCGUACACUCCCACUAGCGGCCACUUGGCUUCCUCUCAUCACCAUAUUUGGUCGGGAGUGGAAAAACCAACCGGAUGCUCCAGAUUUAUACAUCCAGUGAAACAUCUGGCUCCUUGUUCCAUCUAUGUCGUUACUGCUGCAUACAAUUGUUUACCUUUGUGUUGCUGCUGUAUUUGAAUACUUUAUGACCUUCAGGCUAAUAAAGUCAAUAUUAACAGUUUAACACCUCAGGCGCCUGCUUCAGUAUGCAGUGUUUUUUAGACAGUUUAUACCAGGGAUCUGUAAGCUAUGGUCCUCCAGAAAAAUGUAAAUGAGCACUGACUAGUGUCAGCCAGAGUCAUACAGUACCAGUCAAAAGUUUGGACACACCUACUCAUUCAAGGGUUUUUUUUUAUUUGUACUAUUUUAUACAUUGUAGAAUAAUAGUGAAGACAUCAAAACUAUGAAAUAACACACAUGGAAUCGUGAUGAAAAAAGUGUUAAACAAAUCAAAAUAUAUUUGACAUUCUUCAAAGUAGCCACCCUUUGCCUUAAUGACAGCUUUGCACAAUAUUGGCAUUCUCUCAACCAGCUUCACGAGGUAGUCACCUGGAAUGCAUUUCAAUUAACAGGUGUGCCUUGUUAAAGUUAAUUUGUGGAAUUUCUUUCCUUCUUAAUGCGUUUGAGCCAAUCAGUUGUGUUGUGACAAGGUAGGGGUGGUAUACAGAAGAUAGCCCUAUUUGGUAAAAAAACAAGUCCAUAUUAUGGCAAGAACAGCUCAAAUAAGCAAAGAGAAAUGACCGUCCAUCAUUACUUUAAGACAUGAAGGUCAGUCAAUUCGGUACAUUUCGAGAAAUUUGAAAGUUUCUUCAAGUGCAGUCGCAAAAACCAUCAAGCGCUAUGAUGAAACUAGCUCUCAUGAGGACCGCCACAGGAAAGGAAGACCAAGAGUUACCUCUGCUGCAGAGGAUAAGUUCAUUACAGUCACCACCCUCAGAAAUUGCAGCCCAAAUAAAUGCUUCACAGAGUUCAAGUAACAGACACAUCUCAACAUCAACUGUCCAGAGGAGACUGUGUGAAUCAGGCCUUCAUGGUCGAAUUGCUGCAAAGAAACCACUACUAAAGGACACAAAUAAUAAGAAGAGACUUGCUUGGGCCAAAAAACAAGCAAUGGACAUUAGACCGGUGGAAAUGGGUCCUUUGGUCUGAUGAGUCCAAAUUUGAGAUUUUGGAUUCCAACCGCCGUGUGUUUGUGAGACGCAGAGUAGGUGAACGGAUGAUCUCCGCAUGUGUGGUUCCCACCGUGAAGCAUGGAGGAGGAAGUGUGAUGGUGGUUUGCUGGUGACACUGUCUGUGAUUUAUUUAGAUGUCAAGGCACACUUAACCAGCAUGGCUACCACAGCAUCCUGCAGCGAUACAUCAUCACAUCUGGUUUACGUACCUCCAAGCUGUGUAAGGGCUAUUUGAGUGUAAUGUUUACUGUUCAUUUUUAAUUGCUUAUUUCACUUUUGUUUAUCUAUUUCACUUGCUUUGGCAAUGUAAACAUAUGUUUCCCAUGCCAAUAAAGCCCCUUGAAUUGAAAUUGAAUUGAGAGAGAGAGCAUCACUUUCUCCUCCAUAGCCUACAGUUUUUGUUUUGGUAAGAAGAAAACAAUUUUUUUUUGAGAGGAGCCCCUAUUCAUUUCAGCUCUGUAAGUCAUGGGUGGGGGAGAUCCCUGAAAAAUAGCUGACAAGUACAGGCAAAACAUUCCCUUAUAUAUAUACACAUAUGGCGUUUUGUGUAACUGCUACCGUCUCUUAUGACCGAAAAGAACUUCUGGACAUCAGAACAGCGAUUAAUCAACGCGGACUGGAAGAAACUUUUUUCCUUUAACGAGUCCGACGAGAAGGAUAUCCUGCUUUCACUGGAGCAGGCCCAGAUCCAAGCCUUUUGCGUGAAGAAAAGACGCAGGAAAAGGGGCCGCAGAUCGGACAGCCUUCUGAGAAUCUGUAAACUCCCACUGCCAUCCGUUCUUCUUGCUAACGUGCAAUCAUUGGAAAAUAAAAUUGAUGACCUACGAUUAAGAUCAUCCUACCAGCGGGACAUUAAAAACUGUAACAUCUGAUGUUUCACGAGACGUGGCUGAACGACGAUACAGACAAUAUAGAGCUAGCGGGAUUUUCCAUGAGACGCUACCUCUGGUAAGAAGACGCUACCGCUGGUAAAACGAGGGGUGGGGGUGUGUCUAUUUGUCAAUAAAAGCUGGUGCACGAUGUCUAAUAUUAAAGAAGUCUUGAGGUAUUGCUCGCCUGAGGUAGAGUACCUUAUGAUAAGCUGUCGACCACACCAUCUACCAAGAGAGUUCUCAUCUAUAUUAUUCGUAGCCAUCUAUUUACUACCACAGACCGAUGCUGGCACUAAGACCGCUCUCAACCAACUCUGUAAGGCCAUAAGCAAAGAAGAAAAUGCUCACCCAGAAGCGGCGCUCAUAGUGGCCCGGUACUUUAAUGCAGGCCAACUUAAAUCAGUUUUACCACAUUUUUAACAGCAUGUGCAACCAGAGAAAAACAAUCCUAGACCACCUUUACUCCACACACAGAGAUGCAUACAAAGCUCUCCCCCGCCCUCUAUUUGGUAAAUCUGACCAUAAUUAUAUCCUCCUGAUUCCUGCUUACAAGCAAAAACUAAAGCAGGAAGUACCAGUGACUCGCUCAAUACGGAAGUGGUCAGAUGACGCGGAUGCUACACUACAGGACUGUUUUGCAGCACAGACUGGAAUAUGUUCCGGGAUUCAUCCAAUGGCAUUGAGGAGUACACCACCUCAGUCAUCGGCUUCAUCAAUAAGUGCAUCGACGACAUCAUCCCCAUAGUGACUGUACAUACAUAUCUCAACCAGAAGCCAUGGAUUACAGGCAACAUCCGUAUCGAGCGUAGAGCAUAGAGCUGCCGCUUUCAAGAAGCGGGAGACUAAUCCGGAUGCUGAUAAGAAAUCCCGCUAUGCCCUCAGACGAACCAUCAUCAAACAAGCAAAGCAUCAAUACAGGACUAAGAUUAAAUCCUACUACACCGGCUUUGACGUUAGUCGGAUGUGGCAGGGCUUGAAAACUAUUAAGGAUUACAUAGGGAAACCCAGACGCGAGCUGCCCAGUGACACGAGUCUACCAAAUGAGCUAAAUGCCUUUUAUGCUCGCUUCAAGGCAAGUAACACUGAAGCAUGCACGAGAGCACCAGCUGUUCUGGAUGACUGUGUGAUAACGCUCUCGGUAGCCGAUGUGAACAAAACCUUUAAACAGGUCAACAUUCACAAAGCCACUGGGCCAGAUGGAUUACCAGGACAUGUACUCAAAGCAUGCGUGGACCAACUGUCAAGUGUCUUCACUGACAUUUUCAACCUCUCCCUGACCUAGUCUGUAAUACCUACAUGUUUCAAGCCGACCACCAUAGUCCCUGUGCCCAAGGAAGCAAAGGUAACCUGCCUAAAUGACUACCACCCAGUAGCACUCACGUCGGUAGCCAUGAAGUGCUUUGAAAGGCUGGUCAUGGUUCACAUCAACACCAUCAUGCCAGAAACCCUAGACCCACUCCAAUUUGCAUACCGCCCCAACAGAUCCACAGAUGACACAAUCUCAAUCGCAAUCCACACUGCCCUUUCUCACCUGGACAAAAGGAACACCUAUGUGAGAAUGCUGUUCAUUGACUACAGCUCAGCGUUCAACACCAUAGUGCCCACGAAGCUCAUCACUAAGCUAAGGACUCUGGGACUAAACACCUCCCUCUGCAACUGGAUCCUGGACUUCCUAACAGGCAGACCCCAGGUGGUAAGAGUAGGCAACAACACGUCUGCCAUGCUGAUCCUUAACACUGGGGGCCCUCCUGUAUUCCCUGUUCACCCACGACUGCGUGGCCAAACAUGAUUCCAACACCACCAUUAAGUUUGACGAUGACACAACAGUGGUAGGCCUGAUCACCGACAACGAUGAGACAGCCUAUAGGGAGGAGGUCAGAGAACUGGCAGUGUAGUGCCAGGACAACAACCUCUCCCUCAAUGUGAGCAAGACAAAGGAGCUGAUCGUGGACUACAGGCCCCCAUUAACAUUGACGGGGCUGUAGUGGAGCGGGUCGAGAGUUUCAAGUUCCUUGGUGUCCACAUCACUAACGAACUAUCAUGGUCCAAACAUAUCAAGACAGUCGUGAAGAGGGCACGACAAAACUUUUUCCCCCUCAGGAGACUAAAAAGAUUUGGCAUGGGUCCUCAGAUCUUCAAAAAUUUCUACAGCUGCAUCAUCGAGAGCAUCCUGACCGGUUACAUCACCGCCUGGUAUGGCAACAGCUCGGCAUCUGGCCAUAAGGUGCACAGAAGGUAGUGCGAACGGCCCAGUACAUCACUGGGUCCAAGCUUCACGCCAUCCAGGACCUAUACAAUAGGUGGUGUCAGAGGAAAGCCCAUAAAAUUGUCAAAGACUCCAGUCACCCAAGUUAUAGACUGUUUUCUCUGCUACCGCACUCAAUUAAUAAAAUCACCACCAGACAAUUUACAUUGACUGCCCUUUUGCACACUGCUGCAACUCGCUGUUUAUUAUCUAUGCAUAGUCACCCCCACCUACAUGUACAAAUGACCUCAACUAACCUGUACCCUGCACACUGACUCGGUACCGGUGCCCCCUGUAUAUAGCCUCAUUAUUGUUAUUUUAUUGUGUUACUUUUUAUUAUUACUUUUUAUUUUAGUCUACUUGGUAAAUAUUUUAACUGCACUGUUAGUUAAGGGCUUGUAAGUUAUAAUUUCACGGUAAGGUCUACACUUGUAUUCGGCGCAUGUGACAAAUGAAGUUUGAUUUGAUAUACGUACCUUUAGAAAGUAUUCACACCCUUUGACUUUCCCCACAUUUUGUUGUGUUACAGCCUAAAUUAAAAAUGUAUUCAAUUGAGAUUUCACUGAUCUAUACAGUGAAAUUAUGUUUUUUUUCUUAUUUUUUUCUAAGUAUUAUGUUUAAUAAAAAAUGAAAAGCUGAAAUGUCUUGAAUCAAUAAAUAUUCAACACUUUUCAGAAAGUGAAAGCAACUCUUAUGGGCAAAAAAAUAAAUAAUAAUAAUAGCAUAAAUAAUCACAAGCUUUCUGCUAGUACACAAAGAGAACCCCGUCGGUCCCCUGUCGCGGAACGGAACGGAGCGAGCUCGUCCCUCCCUGGCCCUGCCCCGCGCGCAGCGAUCAACAGGUUGAAUGGCGCCAAUUUAUAACGUCCCUAACGGAAAGGACGCAAAUAGUUAUCUGAUUUUAUUAAUGUUAUGAGAAUUUGUUUCAGGAUAAUACGGUCGUUUUCUCUCUCUUUUUGGAAGGAGAAACCAAAGUAUUCAAAAUGAGCGUGUAUGUAGGUUCAUCUUUUAAUGUUGAGGAUGUCCUUAGACCUUCUAUGAAAGAGGGUGGGCAUGAAGAUGUCGAACCCAAAGUUGAGCAGCUGAUGAGUAAAGUAAAAAAGCUACAACAAGGUAAGAGAGCUAUAGAGGAGGAGGUGAAAGAGGCCCAGUCACUCAGAGACUCUCUGCAGGAAGAACUCGAUGCCCACGGAAGCUUACCAACUGGAGGGUGUCCACAAAGAGAAAGAAGAGUCGUACAUGGUGCUGCAGUUCCAGUGUGAAGAGAUGGAACAGGACUCUACCAGGCAGCAGCAGCUUAACAGGAAGAGUGAGGACCUGAUAGAACAGUACAGAUGUCAGAUCCAGGAGACUAAGCUCAAACACAGGAAACACCGGAUGAAGUUUGAAAACCAGCUCCAGCAGCUGAUAGAGCAGCAUAAGAACUUGCACUCUGUCUUUAGCCCAGACAGACUGCCUGCUGAAAUAGAGAGCGUUGAAAACGCCAAGUCUCAGCUGCUGAAGGCUGAACAGCUGAAGUUAUCUCAGCUCUGCCAUCUAGAGGAGGCGCUGGAUGAGGCCAGGAGGCAGACUUCGACUGACACGGCAGACAAACACGCAGACUGAACCCUGGAACUGUACACUGUAAAAAACGACCACUGUGUACAAUUACAGAUAUUACCACGGCUCAUAGUUAGAGAGGGUUCAGUGUGUAGAAGCAAAGUUGUGAAUGUUUUGUGAUUGUUCUUCUGCCCUUGAUAUUGUGUAUUGAGUCCCUCUGUUUGAUAUUGUGGUCCUCUGCUUGAUGCUGUGUAUUGAGGUCCCCUGUUUGAUAUUGGGUAUUGUGUUCCUCUGCUUGAUGUUGUAUAUUGUGUUCCUCUGCUUGAUGUUGUGGUUCUGGAUCAUUUGUACAUCAUUCUUUAUUGAUUAUUUAUUUGCUGCUGAGCAGUUUGCUUUUAAACAGAUUAAAUACAGUUGUCUAUGCUGGUUGAGGGUUACGUGUCUGUGGAUUGAGAGUCUCACACGGAUAAGAAUAAACAAACAUCCCCAACAUGAAUGCAACACAGACAGUCACCAGUGGUGUAAAGUACUUAAGUAAAAAUACUUUAAAAUACUACUUAAGUAGUUUUUUGUGGUAUCUGUACUUUACUUUACAAUUUAUAUUUUUGACAACUUUUACUUUUACUUCACUACAUUCGUAAAGAAAUAAUGCACUUUUUACUUCAUACAUUCUCCCUGACACCCAAAAGUACUCGUUACAUUUUGAAUGCUUAGCAGGACAGGAAAAUGGUCCAAUUCACACACAUCAAGAGAACAUCCCUGGUCAUCCCUACUGCCUCUGAUCUGGUGGACUUACUAAACACAAAUGCUUUGUUUGUAAAUUAUGUUUGACUGUUGGAGUGUGACCCUGGCAAUCUGUAAAGAAAUCAAAUUGUGCUGUCUGGUUUGCUUAAUUUACUUUUGAUACUUAAAUAUAUUUUAAACCAAAUACUUUUAGACUUUUACUCAAGUAGUAUUUUACUGGGUGACUUUCACUUUUUCUUGAGUUAUUUUCUAUUAAUAUCUUUACUUUUACUCAAGUAUGAGAAUGUAGUACUUUUUCUACCACUGACAGUCACACAGACAGACACAUACACACAUAAACUCAGCAAAAAAAGAAACGUCCCUUUUUCAGGACCCUGUCUUUCAAAGAUAAAUCGUAAAAAUCCAAAUAACUUCACAGAUCUUCAUCGUAAAGGGUUUAACCACUGUUUCCCAAGCUUGUUCAAUGAACCAUAAACAAUUAAUGAACAUACAGACGAUAGGCAAUUAAGGUCACAGUUAUGAAAACUUAGGACACAAAAGAGGCCUUUCAACUGACUGAAAAACACCAAAAGAAAGAUGCCCAGGGUCCCUGCUCAUCUGCGUGAACGUGCCUUAGGCAUGCUGCAAGGAGGCAUGAGGACUGCAGAUGUGGCAAGGGCAAUAAAUUGCAAUGUCCGUAGUGUGAGACGCCUAAGACAGCACUACAGGGAGACAGGACGGACAGCUGAUCGUCCUCUCAGUGGCAGACCACGUGUAACAACACCUGCACAGGAUUGGUACAUCUGAACAUCACACCAGCGGGACAGGUACAGGAUGGCAACAACUGCACCAGGAAUACAGUUACACCAGGAAUGCACAAUCCCUCCAUCAGUGCUCAGACAGUCCGCAAUAGGCUGAGCAGGGCUUGUAGGCCUGUUGUAAGGCAGGUCCUCACCGGACAUCACCGGCAACAACGUCGCCUAUGGGCACAAACCCACCGUCGCUGGACCAGACAGGACUGGCAAAA
rnacentral:lncRNA from 1 species